rnacentral:rRNA from 1 species
UUGCUUAACCUUCGGGAGGGCGCUUACCACUUUGUGAUUCAUGACUGGGGUGAAGUCGUAACAAGGUAACCGUAGGGGAACCUGCGGUUGGAUCACCUCCUUACCUUAAAGAAGC